UACGUAGGGUGCAAGCGUUAAUCGGAAUUACUGGGCGUAAAGCGUGCGCAGGCGGUUGUGCAAGACAGAUGUGAAAUCCCCGGGCUUAACCUGGGAACUGCAUUGGUGACUGCAUUGCUCGAGUAUGGCAGAGGGGGGUGGAAUUCCACGUGUAGCAGUGAAAUGCGUAGAGAUGUGGAGGAACACCGAUGGCGAAGGCAGCCCCCUGGGCCAAUAC
rnacentral:rRNA from 1 species